rnacentral:rRNA from 1 species
CCCUUAGAUGUCCUGGGCCGCACGCGCGCUACACUGAUGCAUGCAACGAGUUUAUAACCUUGGCCUGAAAGGUCUGGGUAAUCUUUUGAACGUGCAUCGUGAUAGGGAUAGAUUAUUGCAAUUGUUAAUCUUGAACGAGGAAUUCCUAGUAAACGCGAGUCAUCAGCUCGCAUUGAUUACGUCCCUGCCCUUUGUACACACCGCCCGUCGCACCUACCGAUUGAAUGUUUCGGUGAAGAUUCCGGAUAGGACUUUUUUGAUUUAUUUCAAUUUUGUCUUAAAAGCUAUCUAAACCUCAACAUUUAGAGGAAGGUGAAGUCGUAACA